GACGAACGCUGGCGGCGUGCCUAACACAUGCAAGUCGAACGGGACCGGGGGCAACUUCGGUUCAGUGGCGGACGGGUGCGUAACACGUGAGGAACAUGACCUUCGGCGGGGGAGUAGCCGGCCCAACGGCCGGGUAAUACCGCGUACGACCAUUUGGGACGAUCCCUGGGUGGUGAAAGCAGCAAUGCGCCGAUGGAGUGCCUCGCGGCCUAUCAGCUAGUUGGUGGGGUAACGGCUCACCAAGGCAACGACGGGUAGCUGGUCUGAGAGGAUGGCCAGCCACAUUGGGACUGAGACACGGCCCAGACUCCUAC
rnacentral:rRNA from 1 species